GACGAACGCUGGCGGCGUGCUUAACACAUGCAAGUCGAACGGAAAGGCCCUGCUUUUGUGGGGUGCUCGAGUGGCGAACGGGUGAGUAACACGUGAGUAACCUUCCCUUUACUUUGGGAUAACUUCAGGAAACUGGGGCUAAUACCGGAUAGGAGCUCCUGCUGCAUGGUGGUGGUUGGAAAGUUUCGGCGGUUGUGGAUGGACUCGCGGCUUAUCAGCUUGUUGGUGGGGUAGUGGCUUACCAAGGCUUUGACGGGUAGCCGGCCUGAGAGGGUGACCGGCCACAUUGGGACUGAGAUACGGCCCAGACUCCUACGGGAGGCAGCAGUGGGGAAUAUUGCACAAUGGGCGGAAGCCUGAUGCAGCAACGCCGCGUGCGGGAUGACGGCCUUCGGGUUGUAAACCGCUGUCGCCUGUGACGAAGCGUGAGUGACGGUAAUGGGUAAAGAAGCACCGGCUAACUACGUG
rnacentral:rRNA from 1 species